GACGAACGCUGGCGGCGUGCUUAACACAUGCAGGUCGAACGGAAAGGCCUCUUUCGGGGGGUACUCGAGUGGCGAACGGGUGAGUAACACGUGAGUAACCUGCCCUUGACUUUGGGAUAACUUCAGGAAACUGGGGCUAAUACCGGAUAGGAGCUCCUGCUGCAUGGUGGGGGUUGGAAAGUUUCGGCGGUUGGGGAUGGACUCGCGGCUUAUCAGCUUGUUGGUGGGGUAGUGGCUUACCAAGGCUUUGACGGGUAGCCGGCCUGAGAGGGUGACCGGCCACAUUGGGACUGAGAUACGGCCCAGACUCCUACGGGAGGCAGCAGUGGGGAAUAUUGCACAAUGGGUGGAAGCCUGAUGCAGCAACGCCGUGUGCGGGAUGACGGCCUUCGGGUUGUAAACCGCUUUCGCUCAUGACGAAGCUUUGUGUGACGGUAGUGGGUAAAGAAGCACCGGCUAACUACGUG
rnacentral:rRNA from 1 species